rnacentral:rRNA from 1 species
AUACGAAAGGGGCAAGCGUUGUUCGGAUUUACUGGGCGUAAAGAGAUCGUAGGUGGUUUAUCAAGUCGGAUGUGAAAUCCCGGGGCUCAACCCCGGAACUGCAUUCGAUACUGGUAGACUUGAGUUCGGGAGGGGGAUGCGGAAUUCCGCGUGUAGCAGUGAAAUGCGUAGAUAUGCGGAGGAACACCAGAGGCGAAGGCGGCAUCCUGGACCGAUACUGACACUGAGGAUCGAAAGCGUGGGUAGCAAACAGGAUUAGAAACCCGGGUAGUCC